UUUUACUUUGAAACUGCGAAUGGCUCAUUAUAUCAGUUAUAGUUUAUUAGAAAUAUUUUACUACUUGGAUAACCGUAGUAAUUCUAGGGCUAAUACAUGAGUAAAACCUCARCUUCGGAAGAGGUGUGUUUAUUAGUAUGAAAACCAUAUAUCUUCGGAUAUAAUAGUGAGUAAUAAUAACCUUUCAUAUCGUAUGUCGUAAGAUAACGAUAGUUCUUUCAAGUUUCUGCCCUAUCAGCUUUCGAUGGUAGUAUAUGGGACUACCAUGGCAGUAACGGGUAACGAAGAAUUUGGGUUCGAUUUCGGAGAGGGAGCCUGAGAGAUGGCUACCASAUCCAAGGAAGGCAGCAGGCGCGUAAAUUACCCAAUCCUGACAUAGGGAGGUAGUGACAAUAAAUCACARUGCGGAACUUUUAGUUNUGCAAUUGGAUUGAGAACAANGUACAAANUCAUCGAUAAACAAUGGAGGGCAAGUCUGGUGCCAGCAGC
rnacentral:rRNA from 1 species